UACUAAAAGAUCAAAUAGUACUAACUUAAUAUGGGCAUUUAAUAUAACAAGCAUGGCCCCUGCGCAAGGAUGACACGCACAAAUCCAGAAAUGGUCCAAAUUUUU